rnacentral:lncRNA from 1 species
AACACUAUGACUUAAUUAUGAAUUUAGUGAGGGCUUUCAAAUAGUAGUAUCUUACUAACAUUAAGCUCAACCAUAAAGGACAAUCAAAUAAUUGGCCAGGAAAGCAGGUGGGAGGCACCCCUCACUCAGAGAGUGAGGUCCUAAUUAAGUAACCACCUGUGGCUUCCUUCCUAGACACCAACUGAGUCGAUUGUUCCAGAAUGGGUCAGCCCAAAGUUUUCAUACUACUAUAUUGGUCUCAUUGCACAUUCUAUAAUUUAGCACUAGCAAUUAUACUGUGCUACAACAUGAAUAUAAUACUAUCUCAUAGCACAAACUAAUCAUGCAUACAAACAACCUAGCUAUCUCAUAGCAUCAAGAUAAUAGCAUGUAUUAUCAUUUGGUUAAACUGAUUAAGGGUGGCUCUGAUACCACUGUUAGGGUUUCCCAGUGCCCUAGGGCGCAGCGGAAGAUAUGGGAUUAUAAAAUUUUCUUAUAAAACCCAUUAUAUGAAACCCUAAUAAGCCAAGAUCAUCUUAAUAGUAUAACCAAAUAAUGUAGAAAAUAUAAUCUUGGUAUAGAAGAAUACCU